rnacentral:lncRNA from 1 species
UCAUUAAACCCUAAACACCACCCCAUCUCAUUCAUUACCAUUUCGCCACUUCGCAUACUCACACGACCACCCUAGCCCUGUUGCCAGCAUAUUAGCAUCUUUUUGGCAAACUUCCAUCUCAAAAGGCGUCGCCGUCGUCAUUGCUGACGUCGGUAUAUUCGGGCUAUCAUUGGUGUCUUCUGUCGUAGUAUCUGUCCUCUUAUUCUUAUUUUUCGAUGGCAGCAGCGAUAUAUUCGCGUUAUUAUCGGUAUCUUCGGUAUUAAUAUUUGCAUUUUUCUUCUUAUUUUUCUUUUUGUAGGCAAUGCCGCGGGCUUUGGCCUGCAUGUCUCGGACCUCGCGGAGGUAGAGGCGGACGGCGCGGGCGGCGAAGGGGUUGGCGCCCUGCUGCGCGAAGCCCGUGUUAUUGUUCUCCUCGUCGAAGGCGGCGCGGAGGCGGCCGAUGAGGGC